CGUUAUUAGGAUAUUUCAAUUAAACUGUAACUAUCCAUCUGUUACAACUUACCAAGAAGCAAAUGAAAAAAUAUUAUCUCUAGAAUUUCCUAUUCUCCAUCUUGAUAGGUUACUACUAGUAAGAUAUUUACAAAGAUCUCAAAACAGCUGUCUAAGCCACUUAUUGUGGUCUCAUACAAGCUAUGAAUAGUAACAAGAUGAACGCCUGCAUCUCGCCAGAGAAGCAAACAGACAUACUUAACGGUAAGAACAAAAUUGUCACCAUAUAUCAGAAGCAACAGAAGGCUUAACCUGUAGAUUUAGGAUACACCCUAGCAAAAUGCUGCCUUUCACCCUAACUGAAUUGCACUGAUAGAAGAAUUAUUAAGCUCCUUCGAGAAGCCAGAAAAAUCCCUGGUGGCUCUCUUUGUUACACCUUCAAUUUGACUAGCUAGCUUGGAGGCUGUGAAGCAGGGGAAGUAUGGCGGUCCUUCACCAAGGCUAUAGGCGUUAAAGGAGGUGAUGAAGUCAUAUCUUCCAGUGGCUUAGAAACAUGAAGUGAUGUUUCUAUCUGACCCCGAGAUGGUAUAGAGUAACUACGAGGAAGAGCUGGAGGUGUAGGUAGGGUAGAAGCAGCUGAAGAUACUGCUGCUUUGUUUGUAGGAGAAAAAUCCUGAACUUUUGAGACCAAAGGUCCUGAACGAGUAACUGGACGUAAGGGUCUUGUAGUGGUUAUUUUAGCUGGUGGUCUAGGUAGUUCGUGUAGCUCACUUAUUUUAGGUGAUGACAUGAGAGAAGCACGUGAAGAUAAUUUAGGGGUCGAUGAAGGUUCAGGCGUUGAAGUAUGCAAGAAAGGCAGAGAAAAAUGCAGAGGGUAUCCAGAUGAGGCAAUUGGACUACCAGAAGAAACAAUUGGCUUUUUUGGCCAUGGUUUUGCCGUCAAUGGACCAGAAAAGGCUUGUCUCUUGACCUUUUUGGCAUUGGACAAAUCACGUUGUGCAGAUGAUAGGCCUUCUGACAGUGGAGGGGGCAACCAACCAGUACUUGCAUUAUUUUUGCUCUCUGUGGGAACUGAUUGUGUAUUCACGGUGAUAGGUCCAGGGAACUUAUCACCUGCCAUAAGCUUUUCAUAUUUGAACUGAUCCAAAGGGGAGGAAUGCCACUUCUGAACUACACCACUAGUCUGGCUAGUCCGCUUUGUUUGAAGGUCUAUGUUAUGCGAUUUCACUGAUUCUGGAAUCUUCACCUCCACUGGUGUGGGUAGAACAUAUGGUUGAAACUUGUUUGAGAGUGACGAAGUCAUUCGUGCGGCACCCUCAGCAGGAUCUGGUUUCCUCCCAGACAGAAGUGGUGCUGAUUUAGUGAUGUUGACAUCCCUGAAGAAGGAAAAACUGUUCCCACCAUGAAUCUUACUGAGAUUUUCCUUUGAUGCACCCUUCGAAGCAACUUCAGAAACCGCAACAUCCACCUUAUCCAACUCCAUUGAAUGGGUUGAUGUAUAAACCUGGUCAUUCUGUCCAUAGUCAAAGCUCAGUUCACCAUCAUCAAGCGAUUCAGAUCCAACAUCAGAGUCAUCCUCGGAACUGUUUUCAUUGUCAUUGCCAGCAUUAACUCCAUCAUCUUCUUCUAGCCCACGGAAGUGGUAAUCAAUAUGAUGCAGCUCCGUCACCAAUUUGACAUGUGGCUCAAUCUCUUCAAGGGACUUGAGGGCUUUCUUGAAGAAAGAUAACUGAGCAGCAUGGUGUCUAGAUGCCUGAGUUAAAAGGUUGCGGGAUUGUCCUUGCCUGAGGGACUUCAUACGGAAUACAAAAACAUUAGCCCCCUCGUCAUAGUCUUCAUAAGCUACUUGCAGCUGAUGAGAAGAAAUAUG
rnacentral:misc_RNA from 1 species